GCCCAACAGCUAGCCCAUCCCAAAAACCCAACACCCCCCUAUUAAUACCCCCAAACACACUUUUUACCCCAAAACAAAACAUUUUCCCUCCCUAGUACGGGCGACGGAAAAGGAUCUAAGAGCAAUAGAGAAAGUACCGCAAGGGAAAGCUGAAAGAGAAGUGAAACAAUCCAGUAAAGCCCAAAAAAGCAGAGACAUGACCUCGUAUU
rnacentral:rRNA from 1 species